UGGGGAAUAUUGGACAAUGGGCGCAAGCCUGAUCCAGCCAUGCCGCGUGAGUGAUGAAGGCCCUAGGGUUGUAAAGCUCUUUCACCGGUGAAGAUAAUGACGGUAACCGGAGAAGAAGCCCCGGCUAACUUCGUGCCAGCAGCCGCGGUAAUACGAAGGGGGCUAGCGUUGUUCGGAUUUACUGGGCGUAAAGCGCACGUAGGCGGACUUUUAAGUCAGGGGUGAAAUCCCGGGGCUCAACCCCGGAACUGCCUUUGAUACUGGAAGUCUUGAGUAUGGUAGAGGUGAGUGGAAUUCCGAGUGUAGAGGUGAAAUUCGUAGAUAUUCGGAGGAACACCAGUGGCGAAGGCGGCUCACUGGACCAUUACUGACGCUGAGGUACGAAAGCGUGGGGAGCAAACAGG
rnacentral:rRNA from 1 species